rnacentral:rRNA from 1 species
AUUGAACGCUGGCGGCAGGCCUAACACAUGCAAGUCGAGCGGAUGAAGGGAGCUUGCUCCUGGAUUCAGCGGCGGACGGGUGAGUAAUGCCUAGGAAUCUGCCUGGUAGUGGGGGAUAACGUCCGGAAACGGGCGCUAAUACCGCAUACGUCCUGAGGGAGAAAGUGGGGGAUCUUCGGACCUCACGCUAUCAGAUGAGCCUAGGUCGGAUUAGCUAGUUGGUGGGGUAAAGGCCUACCAAGGCGACGAUCCGUAACUGGUCUGAGAGGAUGAUCAGUCACAUGGGAAAUGAACAAGGUCCAGGACCCUACGGGGGGGGGCAAGGGGGAAAUUUUGAAAAAGGGGUGAAACCUGGAUCCCCCCAGCCGGGUGGGGGAAAGAAGGUUUUGGGUUUUAAAGAUAUUUUAGGUGGGGAGAAGGGGAAGUAAUUAAUUCCCUUGUUUUUUGGACUUAAAAAAAAAAAAAGGCCCGGCCUAACUUGGUG